CUGGGCCGCUGGAGACGGCGGCUGAAUACCGUGGAGAAGUCAGCAGAGGGCAUAGUAGGCGGCGCCCCGCCGAAGGCC
rfam:Propionivibrio sp. S1 isolate 2 genome assembly, contig: PROAA_Contig_351